UUGUUGCACAGAAUCAAAAAA
ensembl:piRNA 21ur-5394 ncRNA